UUGUCGUCAGCUCGUGUCGUGAGAUGUGGGUUAAGUCCCGCAACGAGCGCAACCCUACUUGUUAGUUGCCAUCAUUCAGUUGGGCACUCUAGCGAGACUGCCGGUAAUAAACCGGAGGAAGGUGGGGAUGACGUCAAAUCAUCAUGCCCCUUAUGACCUGGGCUACACACGUGCUACAAUGGCUGGUACAACGAGUCGCAAGUCGGUGACGGCAAGCUAAUCUCUUAAAGCCAGUCUCAGUUCGGAUUGUAGGCUGCAACUCGCCUACAUGAAGUCGGAAUCGCUAGUAAUCGCGGAUCAGCACGCCGCGGUGAAUACGUUCCCGGGCCUU
rnacentral:rRNA from 1 species